GAGAUCUCAUCACACUAUCAAACGCUUAUUUUGGUACUUUUGGUUGUAUAUUUUGGUUAAAUGGCAUGUAUAGGUCAUUUUGGCUUAUGAUAGCCUAUAUGUUUUGUUGUGUUUUAGCCAUUUGAAUUGGCUUAUAUUGUAGAUAUAUCUUUUGUCUUGUAAAUAUGUAAAUAGCCUUUUUAUAUGUGGUGUAUGGUUG
rnacentral:lncRNA from 1 species